UUAAACUAAAGUACAGAAAAUCCUCCUUAUACAAGUCCAGUAAGCGAAUGCUAGUGUGCGUGCUGCCUUGAAGGUAUUUUCUAUCCCAGGGACCCAGGAGACUUGAGUUAUGAGGGUAUCACGGGAGUGGCUCCAGGUGAGUAUCUGUAACUAUGUCCCUUAAAUGAAUGCUACCUCCUCAUGGAAAAAACAAAUGGAGUGGAAAACAAUUUCCCUUCAAGGAUACCAGGAGGGACUUUGCUCUGGAUACUAGUAAUAAAACAGGAGGAACCACUGAGAAUGGGGAGCUGUAUUCCAGGUGAAUACAUUUGUUGACGUUGGUCUCAGUUGGUAUCACUCCCAAGUACACUGUCGAUGCAAAUACACACUCUUUCUUGUGGUCCCACUCCUCCUCUUCAAUAACUACCUCCCAGGACAUCCAUGGGGUUUCAAAGAACACAAUCUCUCAAUUGAAUCAUAGAAAGCGUAAAAUCAAAUAAGACGCAGCAAGAGUGAACAGGAUUAGGGAAAACAAACAAACGGAAGAAUUAUACAUUCAAUGACUUUAUAUUUUGAAAGAACACAAAAUAGGAGUGUUUAAUAAAUUUAGAAAAUAAAUAUUUCAGUGAAGAUAUGAAAAGAAUAAGACAAUUAAAAAGAUAAGGAAUAUCUCAUAUAGAACGUUCAAGAUGAAACAUCUCAUCAAUGACAUUUACUUUCAAAUGUAUCGGCUGAAGUCAAGUGUUAAAAUAUCUGAACAGGGUUCGGUGCGGUGGCUCACACCUGUAAUCCCAGCACUUUGGGAGGCCGAGGUGAGUGGAUCACAAGGUCAGGAGAUUGAGACCAUCCUGGCUAGCACGGUGAAACCCUGUCUCUACUAAAAAUAUAAAGAAAUUAGCCGGGCGUGGUGGCGGGGGCCUGUAGUCCCAGCUACUCGGGAGGCUGAGGCAAGAGAAUGGCAUGAACCCGGGAGGCAGAGCUUGCAGUGAACCGAGAUCAUGCCACUGCACUCCAGCCUGGGUGACAGAGAGAGACUCCAUCUAAAAAAAAAAAAAAUUAUAUUUAUAUAUUUUUAUAUUUUAUAUAUUAUAUAUAAUAUAUAAUUAUACAUUUAUAUAUUAUAUAUUAUAUAUAAUUAUACAUUAUAUAUAAUAUAUAAUUAUACAUUUAUAUAUUAUAUAUAAUAUAUAAUUAUACAUUAUAUAUUUAUACAUUAUAUAAUUAUAUAUUAUAUAUAAUAUAUAUUUAUGUAUAUAUAUUUGUGUAUAUAUAUACCUAAACAGAGAACAACUGUAGUGGAAGAUAUGUCUCAGUUAGUUGUCCAAAGGGCAGCACAUAGAGACUCAGACACGGGAAAUAUGAAAGGAAAGUUGAGAGGAGUGGAAGGUAGAGUGAGGCAGACUGUCUACAUAUCAAUAGGACUUCCAGAAAAAGAAAAGAAUGAAGGAGAAACAGGGCGGAAGAAAGAGAGGGAGGAAGAGACAGAAAAAAAAAUGGAACCCAGAGAGUAUUGAACAUAAUGCCAAAAAAGUUUUUAGAACUAAUUAAAAUUAGGAAUCCUCAUAGACUGAGAGCCUAAUUCCAACCUGGAGAAAUAUAAAUCAAUUAAUAUCAAGCUACAUCAGUGAAGGACCAUGAAAUUCAAAGGCAAAGAAGAUGAUAAAAGAACUCAGAUUACUUACAAGGAAAUGACUUAUGACAACAACGCACAUGUUAAACAUGACAAUGGAAACCAAAAGAAGGAGAAGUUGUGUCUUCAAAGAGGCACCUUAGCAUUUUCAACUGCGAUGCUAUCAUUCAGCAAUGAAGGUAAAGGAUGUUUCGGAUAAUUAAACCUGAUAGAGUUUAUACCACUACAGACAUUUCUAAUGUAUUUAUUUCAGAGAGAAGGAAAAUGAUACAAAAGGAGUGUUGAGUAAAAAAAUGAUAGCCAUGUUAGUAAACCCCCCCAAAAACCAGUAACUACAGAGAAUAAGAAAGAGCUGUUUAUUUCUGGAGCUAAAAGAUCUACAUUGCUGCUAAUUAAUCACCCCAAUAGGUUUUGGGACACCACGAGGUACAAUACCAUACAGGUAUAAUUCCCCAUUGUAAACCUGAAUGGGACAUCCCUUGUGCCAGACACUCUAGUGGGAACAGCACUUUCCAGGAUUAAAAAAUACCCGACCCUUCCUUCCAUGAACCCGAACCACCUUAAAAAUGAAGGGUCUGGCUGGGUGCGGUGGCUCAUGCCUAUAAUCCCAGCACUUUGGGAGGCUGAGGAGGGUGGAUCUUUUCAGGUUGGGAGUUUGAGAUCAGCCUGGCCAAUAUGGUGAAACCCCAUCUCUACUAAAAAUAAUAAUAAUAAAAAUCAGCCUCUGUAACCCCAGCUACUGGGGAGGCUGAGGCAGGAGAAUCCCUUGAACCCAGGAGGUGGAGGUUGCAGUGAGCUGAGUUUGCGCCACC
rnacentral:lncRNA from 10 species